rnacentral:ncRNA from 19 species
CUUAAUUAUCAAGAAUCUCAAAGAGAGAUAGCAACCUGCAAUAACGAGCAAGGUGCUAAAAUAGAUAAGCCAAAUUCAAUUGGAAAAAAUGUUAAUUC